AGCUUUUCACAGGGGCAGAAUCUGUAGGCAAUGAAGUUUAUCUGAGGCACAAUUAUUGCUAAUUGAAAACUUUUCCCAAUACCCCACAGUGACAACUUCAAAUAUAGUCAGCAUUGGCAAUUUUUGACAGUCUCUAUGGAGU